CGAGUCUUCCUGUCCAGAAAUGGAGAGAGGCCCGAAUUAGACCUUAAUUGCAAAAGGGCAGCAGGUGGGAGGACCUGUGAACAGGACAGGCACAGCCCUGGAGGAGGGCAGAGGUGCUGAGACUGCAGCUCCCAGAUUGAGAGCUCAGGCACAGUAAGGGACAGAGGCAGGCGAGGCUCAGCCCUGUGAGUUCUUAGCCCUGUCCUGGGGCUCGAGACCUGUGCCCCCAGCUGCAGUUUCUUGUCAGCCUGGAGAGCAGCAGGGCAGAUGUGCAUGCUGCCUGCCCACAGCCCUGGGACACAGAAGGAGGGUAGGGGAAUCACUAGCUAGUGUUGGCAGCUAGUGUUGGCGACACUCCUGCUCUCCCAGGCGGAUGGUGGCGGUGGCCUUCACCUGCUGUGGGAAACCAUGGAAUUGUUGCUCCAUCCUGCCUUGGCGUCUCUGGACUUAGGAGGUGUCUUGGGUGUGGCCCACUGUACCAUGCUGGUCUAGCAGAGGUGGGUACAUAGGGUUCUGGGGUCAAGAAAUGUGAGUCAGCCCUUGGCUCCUCUGUAGCAUCCAUAUGCCCUGCGUAGGUGAUACUGUCUGCAUGCAUUUGAAAAUGGAGACUGGCCCUUUAAAAUCAGAUUUGCUGUAGCCGGUCUGUCUUUGUCUCUGUUUCCCUGUCUCUGUCUCUCUGUCUCUGUCUCUCUCUCUCCUUUUGGAUAAUUGGAUUUAGGCAUCCCUUUCUUUGUAACAGAGCCUCACAUAUACUAGUCAGAUGCUCUGCCAUUAAUCCGUACCCAGUUUUACUAUAUUUCUUUAAUCCUUUAUGGUGCUAGAGGUCAGUGCAGCUUUUUGAUGCUUUUUGAGACAGGAUCUCACUGUGUAGCCUUGCUGGCCUGGAACGUAACUCUACAGAUGAGGCUAGCCUCAGACUCAUAGAGAUCUAUUUUCCCCUGCCUUCAGAAUGCUAGGUUAAAAGGUGCACAAACUAACUUUAAACAAAAAAUUAUGUCUCCGGGCAGAAACAGAGGCAGGCAGAUCUCUGAGUUCAAGGCCAGCCCAGUAUACCUGGUCAGUUCCAGGCUAGCCAGGGCUGCCUAGUGAGAUCCUGCCUCAAAAACAAAACAAAACAAAAAUCCAAACAGAAAAAUACAGUGUGUGUGGGCGUGCUGUGGAGCCUGCAUGUGGAAGUCAGAGGUUAUGCCACGGGAAUCUGCUCUCUCCUUCACCACGUGAGUUCUGGGGAUAGAGUUUCUGCAUCAGGCUUGGUGGUAAGCAUCUAAGUGCUGAGCUAUCUCUCCCCCACCCCUCCCCCCUCCUCCUCUCUCUUCCCUUACCUCUUCCCUCCCUACUACUUCCCUCCCCUCAACUUUCCCUCCCUACUCUUCCUCUUUCCUCCCUUUACCUUCCUUCUGCUCCCUAGUCCUCCCCUCCCCUCCCCACCCCUCCCUUCCCUCCCUCCUGCCCCCUUUAAUUGCUGUGGCCUCUGUACUCGGUGCCAGUCCUGGGUUGAGAGCUUGUGAACAUAGUGUUCAGAGUGGCUUCUGUCGAGGUGCAACGGGCUGGAGCUCGAAGUAACCUGAUCAUAGGCCAAGUAUAGGCGGUCAGCGUCUGCGCUGCCCCUGUCUGGGGUAGCCUGUUCCCACUACUGCUCCUAGAGAGGCUGGCUAGCAAAAGACCUGUCCCUUGCCCCUGGUGCACCGUGGAGAAAUGGGUUCAGAUGCCAAGGCCACUGGGGAAGGACACGUUUGGGCUAGAGCAGGUGCAGUCUGUGCUGGCAGCAGAGAGCAGGCCAUCAGCUAUCACAACAUUAUUAGGGUUACUGGGUAUUUCUGGAAAGUAAAAGAGAACGGGAGCCAAAGCCAUUGAGCUGGAGUCUCGGAUGAACGCAGGGAGGCUGUGUGUCUAACUGGUCAGCUGCCUGCCCUGUGCUUGGGCCAAUGGUUGGGCCAGGUCUCUGCCCUCUGGGCUCAGCAAUGUCCCUAAGAAGAGUGUUCAUGCCCUUUUGCCUCAGGAGUGCUUGCAACAGCUGACUGAAGGACCAGAGAGGUUCUUUGAAUCUUCACUUGGGGUUUUUGGUAGCAGUGAGUGCAGAGAGCAUGUUGCCCCGCCACGUGGAGAUACUGACUGUGUGGCUGUGUCCACUGUGGGGACCCGUGCCAGGGCUGAGAGCCUGAGGGAGCGCUGGCUUGCUCUCUCCACCACUGUGGACUCAUGGCUGACCUCCUGCCUCAGGCACUCCUAGGUGACCCAGUCUGUAGACCGUGCUUCCUCAUCUGGAACAUGAACACGAAGCCUGCUGUGGUGGUUUGAGUAACAGUGGUCCCAUAAGCUUACGUGUUUAAAUACCUGGUCCUUAGCUGGUAGAACUGUUGGGAAGGAUUAGGAGGUGUGGCCUUGUUGGAGGUGUGUCACUGGGGGUAGCUUUUGAGGUCUACAUCUUUCCCAGCUAACUUUCUCUGCUUUGUGUGGUUGGGUCUCAAGAUGUAAGAGACAGUUUCAGCACCAUGCCUGCCCCCUUGCCAUGCUCCAUACCCUGAUGGCUGUGGACUCUAACCCUGUGGAACCAUGAGCCUCAGAUUCAAUGCUUUUUUUAUAAGAAAGCCUUGGCCAUGGUGUCAUCACAGCAGCAGAGAAGUAACUAACACCCACAGUUCCGGCCCUGUAGGCACUUAUGGAGCCGGGCAGGGUUGAAACUGCUUACCAGUGUCCCCACCUAGAGUCAUCGGGCAGGUCCCAUAGUUGAAUACCCAGAGUUCCAGGUGUGUAAGUUAGUGGCUGACCUGGAAAGCUGGUCGGAGGCACUGAGCUAGCCUGGGACAUGAAGGGCUUAUAGGCAGAGGACCUUGGAGCAGCAGGGCUCCCGCAUUUGUGAAGAGGUAUAUGCAGCUUGAGUCCUGUGGCACGCAGACAUGGCAGGUGUGACCCGUCCAGCCUGGCCUUGAUGGGGCUGCUCCUUCCUACCCGGCUUGGCAGACCAGACUCUUGCUCCUUCGUCUUCAGGUUCAGGCCAUUUGGGGGUCUGCUGCUUCCAUCCUGUCUGUCUAGAAUCCAACCAUUGUUCCUCCUCUCUUGUCCCUCCCCGUCUCGGUCUCCCUGCCUCUGCCUCCCCCUGUCAGACUGUCCUGCCAGCACUGGCACUCGUGAACUCCCGAAUGAACCCGUGUCCCUUCUCUGCUCAGAAACCCUAUGUGACUCCCAUCUGAGCCCAGGCUAAAGCCAAGGUGCUCCCUGGCCUACAGGCCUGCUCAGCUGUGUCUCUCCCUUCCUGCUCCUCAGCCAUGCUGGGCACCUGACUAGGACCUUGGUAUUAGCCUCUGCCUGGACCGUCCUCCCCUGGAUGGUGAAUGGCUGUGUCCUUCCCCUAGCCUAGGGCCUUUUGCUGGACAGCUCGCUCUCAGGGAGAUCUUUAUUCCUUUACCUUAUUUUCAGCUUUAUAUUUUUGAGACAGGGUCGUUCUGAUCGGCUUGGAUCUUUGUAGGCCCGACUGGGUGCUCCCUGUGCUGCUUCCGAAGGACGGGAUGGGUGCUGCCACGCCCAGCUGCCGCUCUGUUCUUACCUGCUCCGUCCCCAUCUGGGUUUCCCUCAACUCUAGGUGACAGGUUGCAUCCUUUUGUCCUUCCCUUUGCUCCUGCUCCCUUGACAGAGGCUUGGGUUGAGAGAAAGGCUUGGUAGUGUUUGUUCCCAUGCCUGAGGCAGGGAGAGUGGGGAGGCAGGCAGGUGGUGGCUCCCCAAGGACUCUGCUGCUAAGUGGAAGAGUGAGGUUAGGGUUUCUUUGCUCCCCAGAGCUGUGUGCUUGCCCAUUAUCGCUAGGACUGUUUCUGCCGGCCAUCCUUCCGCCUCUUGGCACAAGGGGACAAUGGAAAGUAUUGCGGCCUCUAUUGG